rnacentral:rRNA from 1 species
GGACUACCCGGGUAUCUAAUCCUGUUUGCUACCCACGCUUUCGUGCCUCAGCGUCAGUAAUGGUCCAGUAAGCUGUCUACACCACAGGUGUUCCUCCUGAUAUCUACGCAUUUCACCGCUACACCAGGAAUUCCGCUUACCUCUCCCAUACUCAAGCAAUCCAGUUUUCGCCGCACCCUCCCAGUUAAGCCGGGAGAUUUCACGACAAACUUAGAUCACCGCCUACGCACUCUUUACGCCCAGUAAUUCCGAACAACGCUUGCUGCCUACGUAUUACCGCGGCUGCUGGCAC